UGGGGAAUUUUGGACAAUGGGCGAAAGCCUGAUCCAGCAAUGCCGCGUGUGUGAAGAAGGCCUUCGGGUUGUAAAGCACUUUUGUCCGGAAAGAAAUCCUCUGGGUUAAUACCUCGGGGGGAUGACGGUACCGGAAGAAUAAGCACCGGCUAACUACGUGCCAGCAGCCGCGGUAAUACGUAGGGUGCAAGCGUUAAUCGGAAUUACUGGGCGUAAAGCGUGCGCAGGCGGUUUUGUAAGACGGAUGUGAAAUCCCCGGGCUUAACCUGGGAACUGCAUUCGUGACUGCAAGGCUAGAGUAUGGCAGAGGGGGGUAGAAUUCCACGUGUAGCAGUGAAAUGCGUAGAGAUGUGGAGGAAUACCGAUGGCGAAGGCAGCCCCCUGGGCCAAUACUGACGCUCAUGCACGAAAGCGUGGGGGGCAAACAGGAUUAGAUACCCUGGUAGUCCACGCCCUAAACGAUGUCAACUAGGUUGUUGGGGAUUCAUUUCCUUAGUAACGUAGCUAACGCGUGAAGUUGACCGCCUGGGGAGUACGGUCGCAAGAUUAAAACUCAAAUGAAUUGACGGGGUCAUAGCUGUUUCCU
rnacentral:rRNA from 1 species